UACGAAGGGGGCUAGCGUUGCUCGGAAUCACUGGGCGUAAAGGGUGCGUAGGCGGGUCUUUAAGUCAGGGGUGAAAUCCUGGAGCUCAACUCCAGAACUGCCUUUGAUACUGAAGAUCUUGAGUUCGGGAGAGGUGAGUGGAAACUGCGAGUGUAGAGGUGAAAUUCGUAGAUAUUCGCAAGAACACCAGUGGCGAAGGCGGCUCACUGGCCCGAUACUGACGCUGAGGCACGAAAGCGUGGGGAAGCAAACUAGGGGGAGUUAAGAA
rnacentral:rRNA from 1 species